rnacentral:tRNA from 1 species
GGGGCCGUGGCCCAGCCAGGUAGGGCGGCGGGCUCCAGACCCGUAGGACGUGGGUUCAAGUCCCACCGGCCCCACCA